rnacentral:rRNA from 1 species
CCCAGACUCCUACGGGAGGCAGCAGUGGGGGAUAUUGCACAAUGGGGGAAACCCUGAUGCAGCGACGCCGCGUGAGUGAAGAAGUAUUUCAGUAUGUAAAGCUCUAUCAGCAGGGAAGAAAAAAGACGGUACCUGACUAAGAAGCCCCGGCUAACUACGUGCCAGCAGCCGCGGUAAUACGUAGGGGGCAAGCGUUAUCCGGAUUUACUGGGUGUAAAGGGAGCGUAGACGGCAAUACAAGUCGGAAGUGAAAUACCCGGGCUCAACCUGGGAACUGCUUUGGAAGCUGUAUGGCUAGAGUGCUGGAGAGGUAAGCGGAAUUCCUAGUGUAGCGGUGAAAUGCGUAGAUAUUAGGAGGAACACCGGUGGCGAAGGCGGCUUACUGGACUGUAACUGACGUUGAGGCUCGAAAGCGUGGGGAGCAAACAGGAUUAGAUACCCCCGUAGC